rnacentral:pre_miRNA from 1 species
AAAAAGACAAACCCUGGUUUCCGUGUCCAACUUUUGACCGUCCGUCUUAUUUGAAAAAAUUAUAAAAAAAAUUAAAAAGACAAGUUACGCAUAAAAUAUUAAUCAUGUUUUAUCAUCUAACAACAAUCAAAAUUUAAAUUAUAAAAAAAUUUCAUAUAAGACGGAUAGUUAAAGUUGGACACAGAAAUCUAGAGUUUGCCUUUUU